rnacentral:lncRNA from 12 species
GGGAAACAGAGGCAGAGACCAGGAAAGGAAUUUGUCUUAAGGGUGUGCAACUGGAAGAAAAUCAGUUCUGAGCACCCACCCCUAGUCCCCUCAGGGGCAAUCAAAGCAAAUUGAAGGUCAAAAAUCAAGGAGGCUGUGUUGUCAGGCACACAACACCCUGGGGCAUGGGAAGGAAGAAGGAUCAGAGUGUCUGGAAUACAUCUAAUGAUUGUUAGAUUUACCCUGAGGAAGCAGGGUUGGAUUCUGAUCCCAAUCACACCAAAACUGAGCCUGCACCAGUAGGGAGAUCACCCCUCCUGCUCCCAGCUCAUUGCUUCUGUUGUUUCUGCUGCUUCCAACCCUGCUGCCUGCCCCCCCCCCCCACUUUGACCUAAUCAAGUUCUUCCCUUUUAUUCAUUUAAUGAAAUUUUACUGAGAGCCACUUUUUCAUCAGAGUCACCUUAAGAACUGCAAUAAUUUUUCCUCUCUGGAUGCCUCACCCUAGAAACUUGGUCAAAAAAUUGAGUUUUUAGGCAUUCUGUACUGCUAAGUAAGGAUCCAUGAUGCCUGUUAACACUGAAAUGGUUCUGAGAAGCCCUAAUGUAAAAAGACCAUGUAGCUCUGUGUAACCGUGAGUUCUCCUUGAGGUAUUAGGCUGGGCCCUGGGCUGCUAGGGGUAGUGUCCACACAAAUCUCCCCCUUCAGGAGCUCACUGGUAGGGGAGACAGAUAAGCACUAAUAGAACAUUUGCAAAGUGCUGACAAAACAGAGCAAGAAGUGAGCAAUUCUCCUGGGAAGAUGGAGGGAAAGAUUUGCAGAUAAGACAGUAUUUGAGUAGGAGUUUUCUAGGUGGAGAAUAUGGGAAAGGGCAUUUCAUAGUAACAACAGUGUAUUUAGAGACAUAUAAGUAUACCUUUGUGUUGAUCUUUGGGGGUCAGUAUUAAGUAUUCAAGAAGGCUUUUUGUUUUGUUUUGUUUUUUUUUUUUUUUUUGCCUAUCAGCCACUGUUGGGCCAGAUUCGGAAUUCAAAAGAGUGCAGGGCGGAGGGUCUCCAACACUAUCCUGAUGGAUGUCUUGUAUACACACAGUACCAGCAAGCUGGCUGGUUUCCACCAGAAAAGCAGUGGAAAUGUCAGAUCUUCCAUCCCUACCCAGCAGUCAAUUGCACACUAUAAGAACCCCAUGUGACCUAAAGCUUUAAUGUGAUGGCAUCAUAAGCCCUGUGGCUUCAAGAGGGGUCCGGGGGAGGGCUGAGCUCUCACCAAAGCCCACAGGUACCAGUCUUUGCCCUGGUUCUAAUGUCUGAUUAGAGAACCCAGGGUCCCAGUCUUUAGAAGGUGGGGACAGAGUGAAGAGCAGAAGAAAGAUCAGACAACAAGUGAAGGUUUAAACCCAAGUUUGGUGACCUUGCCAUAGGUAUAGGCUGGUAGGAAGGAGAAAGACGUGUGAUACUUAAUAUUGCUUAGAGCAUUCCAGAGGGCUUGAG